GCUGGGAUCCUGUGUUGCUGUGGCUGUGGUGUAGGCCAGCAGCUAAAGCUCCAAUUUGACCCCUAGUCUGGGAACCUUUAUAGGCCAUGGACGGUGUGGCCCUAGAAACAAAACAAAACAAAAACAAAAAUGGUGUCUCUAGAUCUCAGGAAAUCACCAUGCAUAUUUAAAUGUAAAAUAAAAGGUUACACAUAAAUAUUACUGAAAAAACAAAUCAUAUGUUGAAGAAUCACACUAUGAAGAAAGUUCUUCCUGAAUACAGAGUAGGUAGGAGAAACAAAUAAGUGAACUAAAAAGGAGAAAGAGAGAUGAUUGUUAAAGUAUCUCUAUGAACAGAGCAAUGAAGUGCAAAACCCAAUAAGAUGUUAAGGAGUCGUGUGUUUGCAAGGGAGGGGAGGAUAUACGACUGCUUUUCUGAAGAAGGAAUUUGUACAGGUUCGUCACAUUUGUAUUAUUAUUCACAUUCUAAUAAGUGGAAACUUUGUUUUCAGAUUGUCCCGCUUGGGAUUCUACUAGUUUGACCUGCAAUAACGAGACUUGUCCAAGAGCCGGGCACUUGAAAAUUGAUGAUAACUAUCCCGUUGUGUCACAAUCAGUGACCAAAAAUCAGUCAUCAUCCAGAGAAGUUGGACAGAUGACCUUAAUAUAUAAAGAGAAAGUUCAUAUUGGAGCAAAAAAUAAGAAGUAUAUGCUCCAGGACCUGUGUGAAUCACAGCUGCCAGAAAACCAAGAAAGCAGAAAAGAUUCUCCUGAAAAAUAUCCUCAUUUGAAGGUAGCUGUUUUAUACAUUCAUCUUGAAUUAUUUACUCCACACUGUAUCAUCUGUACAUUAUGGAUUAAUCAAAUCUUUUCCAAACCCAUGCAGUCUACUGUUGUGGUGAAAAUGUCUGUUCAUCAUAAAACAGUUGGCACGAAGGCUUUGCAAAUGUCCAGAGCAGGUAAAUUUUGCAAUAUAACUUUAACUCUGAAAAGGACGCUAAAAUAUUUGGAAUGCUCACAGUCUUCUUACUCCCUUUUGUUUUCUUAGCAAAUUUAGUUGAAGGAUUUGACAUACUAAGGUAGAUGUUAUUGUUGGUAUAGGUGCUUUGAAAGGUAUGAAUAUGCUAAAGAGAUUUUAUAAUUUAUUUAGUUAGUUUCUGAUUGAUGUUAUUAAAAGGAGACCAACAACAGGAUGCACUUUAGUAUACUUUUGGUUGAGGUGACUUGCUUUUUUAUAUAUUUUUGUUUAUCGUGGUCCUUUUACAGUGAUCUCUCAAAUCAUGCUGUACCACAAGUGACCCAGCCACACACACACACACACACACAUUCUUCAUCUCAGAUUUUCUUCUAACAUCGUCUGUCAAAAUUGAUUGGAUAUAGUCCUUGUGCUAUGCAGGAAGACCCCACUGCAUAUCCAUUCUAACUGUAAUAGUUUGCACCUACUAAUGCCAAAACGCCCAGUCAUACCACUGCCUCCUCCUCCCCCUUGGCAACCACAAGCCUGCUCUCCGUGUCUAUGAGUCUGCUUCUUUUCUGUAGAUGGAUGACCUGUGCCGUAGUUUAGAUUCCACAUGUAAGUGACAUCCUACGGUAUUUGCUUUUUCUGACUGACUUAGUGUGAGAAUCUCUAGUUGCAUCCAUGUGGCUGCAGAGGACAUUCAUUUCUUCUCUUUUAUGGCUGGGUAGUAUUAAUUGUAUACAUGUACCACGUCUUCUUCAUUCAUUCAUCUGCCAAUGGACAUUUAGAUUGUUUCCAAGUCUUGACUACUGUGGACAGUGCUACAUCGAGCAUAAGGGUGCAUGCAUAUUUUUGAAUGAAAGGUUUUUCCAACUAUGUACCCAGGAGUGG
ensembl:lncRNA